rnacentral:rRNA from 1 species
CCAACAGGGAUUGCCUCAGUAACGGCGAGUGAAGCGGCAACAGCUCAAAUUUGAAAUCUGGCCCUCACGGGGUCCGAGUUGUAAUUUGUAGAGGAUGCUUCGGGUCCGGCUCCGGUCUAAGUUCCUUGGAACAGGACGUCAUAGAGGGUGAGAAUCCCGUAUGUGACCGGAAGUCAUGCUCAUGUGAAGCUCCUUCGACGAGUCGAGUUGUUUGGGAAUGCAGCUCAAAAUGGGUGGUAAAUUUCAUCUAAAGCUAAAUACCGGCCAGAGACCGAUAGCGCACAAGUAGAGUGAUCGAAAGAUGAAAAGCACUUUGGAAAGAGAGUUAAAAAGUACGUGAAAUUGUUGAAAGGGAAGCGCUUGCAAUCAGACUUGCCCGCGGUUGAUCAGCCGGUGUUCUCACCGGUGCACUCUUCCGUGGUCAGGCCAGCAUCGGUUUGGGCGACUGGAUAAAGGCCCUAGGAAUGUAGCUUCCCUCGGGGAGUGUUAUAGCCUGGGGUGCAAUGCAGCCAGCCUGGACCGAGGACCGCGCUUCGGCUAGGAUGCUGGCGUAAUGGUUGUAAGCGACCCGUCUUGAAACACGGACCAAGA